AUACCCUAUUUGAAGGGAUAGGGUCGGUUCGGCCGGAUUUUACACAAGUGUUGCAUGGCUGUCGUCAGCUCGUGUCGUGAGAUGUUGGGUUAAGUCCCGCAACGAGCGCAACCCUCAUCCUUAGUUGCUAUCAGGUAAUGCUGAGUACUUUAAGGAAACUGCCAGUGAUAAGCUGGAGGAAGGUGGGGAUGAUGUCAAGUCAUCAUGGCCUUUAUGGAGUGGGCUACACACGUGCUACAAUGGUGUCUACAAUGGGCUGCAAGGUGCGCAAGCCUAAGCUAAUCCCUAAAAGACAUCUCAGUUCGGAUUGUACUCUGCAACUCGAGUACAUGAAGUUGGAAUCGCUAGUAAUCGUGGAUCAGCAUGCCACGGUGAAUACGUUCUCGGGUCUUGUACACACUGCCCGUCACGCCAUGGGAAUUGGUUUCCUUCCGAAGCU
rnacentral:rRNA from 1 species